UCCCUGGAGGUCCGGUGGUUAAGGCUCUGUGCUUCCAACACAAUGGACUUGGGUUCAAUCCCUGACUGGGGAA
rfam:Ovis aries breed Texel chromosome 1, whole genome shotgun sequence.